UACGUAGGGGGCUAGCGUUGUCCGGAAUCAUUGGGCGUAAAGCGCGUGUAGGCGGCCCGGUAAGUCCGCUGUGAAAGUCGGGGGCUCAACCCUCGAAUGCCGGUGGAUACUGUCGGGCUAGAGUACGGAAGAGGCGAGUGGAAUUCCUGGUGUAGCGGUGAGAUGCGCAGAUAUCAGGAGGAACACCCAUUGCGAAGGCAGCUCGCUGGGACGUUACUGACGCUGAGACGCGAAAGCGUGGGGAGCAAACAGG
rnacentral:rRNA from 1 species